UACAGAGGGGGGCAAGCGUUGUUCGGAAUUACUGGGCGUAAAGGGCGCGUAGGCGGCCGCCUAAGUCAGACGUGAAAUCCCUCGGCUCAACCGGGGAACUGCGUCUGAUACUGGGUGGCUUGAAUCCGGGAGAGGGAUGCGGAAUUCCAGGUGUAGCGGUGAAAUGCGUAGAUAUCUGGAGGAACAUCGGUGGCGAAGGCGGCAUCCUGGACCGGUAUUGACGCUGAGGCGCGAAAGCCAGGGGAGCAAAGCGGG
rnacentral:rRNA from 1 species